GUUGUUCAUCAAAGAUUUAUUGAGCGCUUAUAAGAGGCACCAUGUCAGGCAUUGGGGUCACAGAGGUGAGGCUGACGUGACCCCCACAUCAAGGGUCCUAGUCUUGUGAGGGAGUCAGACCUACCUGCAGACAAUUACCAUGUCAUGUGUGGAGUGCAGUGUGAGACCCGAGGAACGACCCCUAAAUCCUCCUGAGAAAGGAGUUAGGAAAGGCUCCUGGAGGAGGCUGGCAAAGAAAUACAAGAACAGUGAAAAGCACUCUAAGGAGAAGGAAGGGUGUUCGGAAAAAAAGACCUUCGAUGAUGCAGCUCUGCUGCUGCUCUCCGCAGCCCCUAAAAGUAGCAUGGAUCGGGGAAGAAG
rnacentral:lncRNA from 1 species